rnacentral:tRNA from 1 species
GCCUGCGUGGCUCAGUGGGUUAAGCGUCUGACUUCAGCUCAGGUCAUGAUCUCCAAGUCCGUGGGUUCGAGCCCCGCGUCGGGCU